rnacentral:rRNA from 1 species
CCUACGGGCGGCUGCAGUGGGGAAUAUUGGACAAUGGGGGGAACCCUGAUCCAGCCAUGCCGCGUGUGUGAAGAAGGCCCUCGGGUUGUAAAGCACUUUCAGUGAGGAAGAACGCCUGGUGGUUAAUACCCAUCAGGAAAGACAUCACUCACAGAAGAAGCACCGGCUAACUCCGUGCCAGCAGCCGCGGUAAUACGGAGGGUGCGAGCGUUAAUCGGAAUUACUGGGCGUAAAGCGCGCGUAGGUGGCUUGAUAAGCCGGUUGUGAAAGCCCCGGGCUCAACCUGGGAACGGCAUCCGGAACUGUCAAGCUAGAGUGCAGGAGAGGAAGGUAGAAUUCCCGGUGUAGCGGUGAAAUGCGUAGAGAUCGGGAGGAAUACCAGUGGCGAAGGCGGCCUUCUGGACUGACACUGCCACUGAGGUGCGAAAGCGUGGGUAGCAAACAGGAUUAGAUACCAUAGUAGUC